rnacentral:lncRNA from 1 species
CCUCGCAUUCGGUUUCUCGUUCCCAACACUGAAUGUGAAGAUAUUCCAUAUCUUCCAUUAUUAUUCCAUUAUUAUCAGAUAGCCUUGAUAAUAUGGAAGCGUUUUGGCUGACUUGUGAAAUCUGAUUAUAUUAUCACUGUUUCCCCAACAAUGUGGCUGCCCGAGCGCCGCUGGGACUGCUUUUCUUGCUCGUUCUGUCUUGCAUUAUUAUGCAAUCCAUGAUUCCUUUUUAGAAAAAAUUUUAAGCCUCUUGCCCAUUUUUUGGAUGGUUAAUUUAGGGAAAACUAGAUCUGCUGUGUAAUUCCACUUACCUGGACUCAUCUGUUGUAGGUCACAUUGUGUGGAGAGAGAGUCCAGGGAUGAACUCACCACUGUCGCCUGGUGUCUGAUCCCUCAAGACCUGGAUGACAGAUCACUAAUGGGUGCACCAGUGUCUUCCAGGGCAGAAUUGGCUGGCAGGGGAGUCUGCAGAAUGCUGUCUUCAGGCAGUGAGGAGGUGUAGCAGGUGAGUGUUAGCUUUGAGGUGGUGAUUCUGUGUGGCCCAGACUCAGGGUCGCCCCACACAAGCCUUCCUUGUCCUCCCUGACCAGAGCAGACCACGCUGUGCUCCCUCUCAGGACUUUCUGGACCUAAACCCUCAUAGAUCUUCCUGCACUUUCUUUUUGUGCAUUAUGUUUAUAUGUACACACAUGUGUGUGGAUAAGUAUGCACUACACAUUUAUAUCA